rfam:uncultured archaeon A07HB70 genomic scaffold scf7180000022026, whole genome shotgun sequence.
CCCGUCCACACGGGACGAUAUGUGGCCCACGUGGUUCGUGGAACGGCUGCCACGAGGGCCGAAUCGCAAG